GCCUGGGUGGCUCAGUGGUUGAGCGCCUGCCUUCGGCCUAGGGCAUGAUCCUGGAGUCCUGGGAUCGAGUCCCACAUCAGGCU
rnacentral:tRNA from 1 species